rnacentral:rRNA from 1 species
CACGUAGGCACCAAGCGUUGUCCGGAUUUAUUGGGCGUAAAGGGCUCGUAGGCGGUUCGGUAAGUCGGGUGUGAAAACUCUGGGCUCAACCCAGAGCCGCCACCCGAUACUGCUGUGGCUAGAGUCCGGUAGGGGAGCGUGGAAUUCCUGGUGUAGCGGUGAAAUGCGCAGAUAUCAGGAGGAACACCAGCGGCGAAGGCAGCUCGCUGGGACGGUACUGACGCUGAGACGCGAAAGCGUGGGGAGCGAACAGG